rnacentral:sRNA from 1 species
GCACAGGUUCCAGGUCUUUAACGUGAGCCCGCUGCAGGUGUGCGGCCCAGUCCGAGACAGCAGAUGAGGAGACUGUCCUUCCUGUUUCGCAGAUGAGGAAACUGAGGCUUAAAGAAGUUUGGCAAAUUGGCUAAGUUCCUACAGCUAAUUGUGGGAUUAGUGAUAUGCUUUUCUAAAGAGUAGAAAAGUCGAAGAUGUCUAGACAGAACUUAGUGGCUUUGACAGUGACUACCCUUCUGGGUGUGGCUGUAGGGGGGUUUGUCCUCUGGAAAGGCAUCCAGCGCCGCCGAAGGAGUAAAACGAGUCCUGUGACCCAACAGCCACAGCAGAAAGUGCUGGGCAGUAGAGAGCUGCCCCCUCCAGAAGAUGAUCAGCUGCACUCCAGUGCCCCCAGAUCCUCGUGGGAGGAACGGAUCCUUAAAGCAAAGGUGGUGACAGUGUCUCAGGAGGCAGAGUGGGAUCAAAUCGAGCCCUUGCUUAGAAGUGAAUUAGAAGAUUUUCCAGUACUUGGAAUUGACUGUGAGUGGGUAAAUUUGGAAGGCAAAGCCAGCCCUCUGUCACUUCUACAAAUGGCCUCCCCAAGUGGCCUGUGUGUCUUGGUUCGCCUGCCCAAGCUAAUCUGUGGAGGAAAAACACUACCAAGAACGUUAUUGGAUAUUUUGGCAGAUGGCACCAUUUUGAAAGUUGGAGUGGGAUGCUCAGAAGAUGCCAGCAAGCUUCUGCAGGAUUAUGGCCUCGUUGUUAGGGGGUGCCUGGACCUCCGAUACCUAGCCAUGCGGCAGAGAAACAAUUUGCUCUGUAAUGGGCUUAGCCUGAAAUCCCUCGCUGAGACUGUUUUGAACUUUCCCCUUGACAAGUCCCUUCUACUUCGUUGCAGCAACUGGGAUGCUGAGACUCUCACAGAGGACCAGGAACUCACCUGGAGAAAAAAACGAUGACCACAGUAGCUGGAGAAAAGUCUUGGAAAAAUGCCAGGGUGUGGUCGACAUCCCAUUUCGAAGCAAAGGAAUGAGCAGAUUGGGAGAAGAGGUUAAUGGGGAAGCAACAGAAUCUCAGCAGAAGCCAAGAAAUAAGAAGUCUAAGAUGGAUGGGAUGGUGCCAGGCAACCACCAAGGGAGAGACCCCAGAAAACAUAAAAGAAAGCCCCUGGGGGUGGGCUAUUCUGCCAGAAAAUCACCUCUUUAUGAUAACUGCUUUCUCCAUGCUCCUGAUGGACAGCCCCUCUGCACUUGUGAUAGAAGAAAAGCUCAGUGGUACCUGGACAAAGGCAUUGGUGAGCUGGUGAGUGAAGAGCCCUUUGUGGUGAAGCUACGGUUUGAACCUGCAGGAAGGCCCGAAUCUCCUGGAGACUAUUACUUGAUGGUUAAAGAGAACCUGUGUGUAGUGUGUGGCAAGAGAGACUCCUACAUUCGGAAGAACGUGAUUCCACAUGAGUACCGGAAGCACUUCCCCAUCGAGAUGAAGGACCACAACUCCCACGAUGUGCUGCUGCUCUGCACCUCCUGCCAUGCCAUUUCCAACUACUAUGACAACCAUCUGAAGCAGCAGCUGGCCAAGGAGUUCCAGGCCCCCAUCGGCUCUGAGGAGGGCUUGCGCCUGCUGGAAGAUCCUGAGCGCCGGCAGGUGCGUUCUGGGGCCAGGGCCCUGCUCAACGCGGAGAGCCUGCCUGCUCAUCGAAAGGAGGAGCUGCUGCAAGCACUCAGAGAGUUUUAUAACACAGACAUGGUCACAGAGGAGAUGCUUCAAGAGGCUGCCAGCCUGGAGACCAGAAUCUCCAAUGAAAACUAUGUUCCUCACGGGCUGAAGGUGGUGCAGUGUCACAGCCAGGGUGGCCUGCGCUCCCUCAUGCAGCUGGAGAGCCGCUGGCGUCAGCACUUCCUGGACUCCAUGCAGCCCAAGCACCUGCCCCAGCAGUGGUCAGUGGACCACAACCAUCAGAAGCUGCUCCGGAAAUUCGGGGAAGAUCUUCCCAUCCAGCUGUCGUGAUAGCUGCUUUCCUCCCAGUUAGGACAGGUGGGAAGCUGGAGCCAAGGUUGAAGAGUCACCUCUUCCCAUUUUAGUACAUCAUUAAUUGUCAAAGCCUGUGUGACACAACUCAGAAUACUAACCUAGACUAAUCCCAGGAUGCUUCUGCUGGAGCAAAGAUAUUGUUUGAAGGAGAGUUUAUGGUUUUGGAUUUUAAACGGGCAGGGUCUUUUUUCCUCUCAUUUUUGUGGACAAGAGAGGCCUUCGCCUUUAUUUUUACUCUCCCUCUUCUGCUGUCCCUGUGCAGAGGAAAAAUGAAGAAUUCUCCCAGAAGUGACUUGUCAAGACUUAAAAAAAAUGUUUUUAAUGCAUUUCUUCCUUGUCUAAUGCCUCAGUUUAUCUCUAACAGGGGCUGUCCAGUAUAUCGGUCCUGUUAGGAGGGGAGAAAAAGUUCUUCCAAAGGCUGGAGAAGUGAACAAGGAGUCAAAUUUAUUUUCCCAAUUCAACUUCAUAAUUAUCAUUUCUUUGGCUUCAUGCUCUCCCGUAACUCAUGUGGUUGGGAUCCAUCCCAUCUGGGUCACUUCAGUCUACUUCACAUACUUGAAAAGGCUUUCCUUUACACUUCCAGGACCAAACAGCAACUUCCUGCCACACACUUCCACCCUAUCACUGGGAGAAAUCCUUGUCUGGACAUGAGCCUUUGACCUGGGUGGGGCAGAAAGAACCACAAACUCCAUCUCCCAAUAGAACUUUGAAAUUCACUCAGCUUUUCCUUUCAUGCUGUUUGUUGCCUGCUUGUUGCACUCCUCCUGCCCCAGAACUGCAAGAUUUUUAGCUUCACCCCUUUCUGAGAGUAAUGUUAUCUUUUAUCAGAAUCAGUAUCAGUUCCCCUGUAUUCUGUGCUUCAUCAAAUUUGCAAGACUGACCUCUUUUAAGCAUUUAAUUCACUCCCAGAGUCAUCUGGUCAGGUUGCAAUAUGAGGACUUCUCUGUCUCCUCUGAAGCCUGGGACACCGAGCUUACUUAAUACAUUAGAUGUUCAAAAGAGGAGUGUUGUUUCAUCUUUCAAAAUGUUAGGCCAUCACUUUGAGUAUAAAAUCGACUUAUUAAUGAUUAGUAAUUUUUCUAAAGUAUUGGGGAAACUUUCUUAUUUUAUAAGAUCUUAACAAGCUUAAAAAAGAAUUCUAUGACCAGAAUCCAACAAGAGCUCUAUUUUGGAAUUGUGCCCAAGUUGGUGAUGUUUACUCUAAAAUUAAUAAUAAAACUACUUGUAAGCACA